AACGAACGCUGGCAGCGUGGAUUAGGCAUGCAAGUCGGACGGGAUCAGCCGGUUAGCAAUAAUUGGCUGUGAGAGUGGCGGAUUGGGAGGAGCACGUGAGCAACCUGCCCUGGAGAUGUGGAAAACCUCUGGAAACGGAGGCUAAUACAGAAUGUGGCGCCCCGUGGCAUCACGGGAGCGCCGAAGGGGGCCGCAAGGCUCCCGCUCCGGGAUGGGCUCGCGCACCAUCAGCUAGUUGGCGGGGUAACGGCCCACCAAGGCCUACGGUUAGCUGGUCUGAGAGGAUGACCAGCCCCACUGGGACUGAGAUACUGCCCAGACUCCUACGGGAGGCUGCAGUCGAGGAUCAUUCGCAAUGGGCGAAAGCCUGACGAUGCGACGCUGCGUGGAAGGAUGAAGGCCUUCGGGUCGUAAACUCCUGUCAUGGGGGAAGAGGCGAGGGGACCCAACACGUCCCUUAGUUGACUGUACCCCAAGAGGAAGCGACGGCUAACUCUGUGCCAGCAGCGGC
rnacentral:rRNA from 1 species